rnacentral:rRNA from 1 species
AGAGACAGCAGCAGCCGCGGUAAUACGAAGGGUGCAAGCGUUAAUCGGAAUUACUGGGCGUAAAGCGUGCGUAGGCGGUGAGUUAAGUCUGCUGUGAAAUCCCCGGGCUCAACCUGGGAAUGGCAGUGGAUACUGGCUCGCUAGAGUGUGUCAGAGGAUGGUGGAAUUCCCGGUGUAGCGGUGAAAUGCGUAGAGAUCGGGAGGAACAUCAGUGGCGAAGGCGGCCAUCUGGGCCAAUACUGACGCUCAUGCACGAAAGCGUGGGGAGCAAACAGGAUUAGAUACCCCCGUAGUCCCUGUCUCUUAUAC